rnacentral:misc_RNA from 1 species
CAUCCGAUCUACAACCUCAACUGGUAAACCAGAGAGGGAGGAAAAUAAUCGAUCUCACCCCAUAAGUGGAGGAGGAAUAAUAAGGCACUGUCACGCUAAGUGUGAAUCAAAAAUCACUUUCAAACAUUUUAUUCAAAUAAUUCAUGAGAAAUCCAAUAAGUUUCCAAAGUCAUAAUUUUAUUCACAAUGUGGCAACACAAUUCAUGAUUAACAUCAAAUUUUCAUAAAUCAUACUUAAUCAAUUUUUCAAUACCAAGAUGCUCAAAUAAGGUUUAUUGUGCACAAACCUGACGUGAGUCGCCUCUAGGCCU